GCCGGGGUGGCGGAGUCUGGCUAACGCGCGGGCCUCGAGAGCCCGUGACCCUUGGGUCAUGUGGGUUCAAAGCUCGCAGGGAUCCUCUGGGUACCUCGAGUGGAAGUCCCACCCCCGGCG
rnacentral:tRNA from 1 species